rnacentral:rRNA from 1 species
CAAGUACCGUGAGGGAAAGUUGCAAAGAACUUUGAAGAGAGAGUUCAAGAGAACGUGAAAUCCUAGCGGUUGAAGCGGAGAGAGUUGACGUAGCUCGGCGGCUAAGCUUAGUGUUGUCUUUUCGGAGGCUUCGCUUUGUGGUGUCCGCUUAUAGCUGCGCCGGUAGCGUUGUUCGAGCUUUCUGACCUGGUUAGUGUUGCCCACUUCGGUGGUGUCUUGCUGCCGGCGAGGUCUGCCGUAUUAACGUUUAAUUUGCCUUACGGCAAGUACCGGUGUGAAGGUCAGCCACCUUUCCGACCCGUCUUGAAACACGGACCGAGGAGUGUAACUUGUACGCGAGUCAGAGGGUGGAAAACCCUACGGCGCAAUGAAAGUAAAGGUCGGUUAACCGGCUGACAUGGGAUCCGUGCUUCGGCGCGGCGCACCAUGGCCCUGUCUUGAGAGCUUGCUCUUGGGCAGAGGUAGAGCGUACAGGUUGCGACCCGAAAGAUGGUGAACUAUACUUGAGCAGGACGAAACCAGAGGAAACUCUGGUGGAAGUCCGUAUCGGUUCUGACGUGCAAAUCGAUCGAUAAACUUGAGUAUAGGGGCGAAAGACUAAUCGAACCAUCUAGUAGCUGGUUCCUUCCGA